UAGGGAAUCUUCGGCAAUUGACGAAAGUCUGACCGAGCAACGCCGCGUGAGUGAAGAAGGUUUUCGGAUCGUAAAACUCUGUUGUUAGAGAAGAACAAGGACGUUAGUAACUGAACGUCCCCUGACGGUAUCUAACCUGAAAGCCACGGCUAACUACGUGCCAGCAGCCGCGGUAUUACGUAGGUGGAAAGCGUUGUCCGGAUUUAUUGGGCGUAAAGCGAGCGCAGGCGGUUUCUUAAGUCUGAUGUGAAAGCCCCCGGCUCAACCGGGGAGGGUCAUUGGAAACUGGGAGACUUGAGUGCAGAAGAGGAGAGUGGAAUUCCAUGUGUAGCGGUGAAAUGCGUAGAUAUAUGGAGGAACACCAGUGGCGAAGGCGGAUCUCUGGUCUGUAACUGACGCUGAGGCUCGAAAGAGUGGGGAGCAAACAGG
rnacentral:rRNA from 1 species